AAAUUGAAGAGUUUGAUCAUGGCUCAGAUUGAACGCUGGCGGCAGGCCUAACACAUGCAAGUCGAACGGUAGCACAGAGAGCUUGCUCUCGGGUGACGAGUGGCGGACGGGUGAGUAAUGUCUGGGAAACUGCCUGAUGGAGGGGGAUAACUACUGGAAACGGUGGCUAAUACCGCAUAACGUCGCAAGACCAAAGAGGGGGACCUUCGGGCCUCUUGCCAUCAGAUGUGCCCAGAUGGGAUUAGCUUGUUGGUGAGGUAACGGCUCACCAAGGCGACGAUCCCUAGCUGGUCUGAGAGGAUGACCAGCCACACUGGAACUGAGACACGGUCCAGACUCCUACGGGAGGCAGCAGUGGGGAAUAUUGCACAAUGGGCGCAAGCCUGAUGCAGCCAUGCCGCGUGUAUGAAGAAGGCCUUCGG
rnacentral:rRNA from 1 species